ensembl:lncRNA
GUAAGUUGCAGACACUUUGUUCUGAUAGGUUUAAAUUGCUGCCCUUCAAAGAGCAGGGUAGGGUUUUUACAGCAGCGGUGGGUUAUGGGAGUCUGAGGCCACAGACACGCUCUGCAGUGGUCGUUUCUGAGGGUGUGGGUUUGGUGGGUCCGCCCGGGCCGCUUCUUCCGUCGGUCUGCGGCGAGUCAGUCUGAAACAGUUCGCGUCUAUCCGGCGGCAUUGAGUCUUGGUCCUUCGCCGGAGUGUCAGGCUCAGGGGUCCCAGCCAGUGAGGGUGACAGUUUGGAUUGGCCUCGGGAGCGCAGCCUGGCCCGUCCCUGAAUCCCAGUAUUGGGUUCUGGGUGUCCCAAAAUCCCGCGUGAUGGUGAAGGCGCUGGGGCUCGGAUCAGAUCUGUUCCCAGUUCCACACUUGUCUACCCAGCUGCCUCCUCGACGUCUACGCUUGGAUGGCAAAUGGACUUCGCAAUGUGUUCAAAUCAGAGCUCCCAACAUGCUCCCCUGAAGCUGUUCUUCCCUUGACUUCCCUCUUGUCAGUGGCCUCACUAUUCUUGGGCUGGUUCACGCUGAAAACAUUGGAGGUGUCCUUG